UGGGAUGUAGUUCAGUGGUAGAGCACCUGCAUAACAUGCACAAGUUCCUGGGUUCUAUCCCCAGCAUCACAA
rnacentral:tRNA from 1 species